rnacentral:rRNA from 1 species
GCUUGUCUCAAAGAUUAAGCCAUGCAUGUCUAAGUAUAAGCCUUUAUAUGGUGAGACUGCGAAUGGCUCAUUAAAACAGUUAUAGUUUAUUUGAUACAUUUUAAAUGGAUAACUGUAGAAACACUAGAGCUAAUACAUGCUAAGACCGUAAGGUUGUAUUUAUUAGAUAUACCGAGUAGGUGAAUCAUAAUAACUUCGCAAAUCGCAGUAAUACUGCGAUAAAUCAUUCAAGUUUCUGCCCUAUCAUGCUCUCGAUGGUAGUGUAUUGGACUACCAUGGCUCUCACGGGUAACGGGGAAUUAGGGUUCGAUUCCGGAGAAGGAGCCUGAGAAACGGCUACUACAUCCAAGGAAGGCAGCAGG